GCAGCAGCAAAACAUACAUAUACUAAAAUUAAAGCCAUAUAGGGAAGAUUGGCAUGGCCUCUCUGAAAAGAUGACAAGCAAAUUUGUGAAGCAUUCCUUAUUUCC
rnacentral:snRNA from 1 species